AGGUUUAAACUCAAGAGUUUGAUCCUGGCUCAGAUUGAACGCUGGCGGCAUGCCUAACACAUGCAAGUCGAACGGUCCUUCGGGAUAGUGGCGGACGGGUGAGUAACGC
rnacentral:rRNA from 1 species